CGAGUGGCGGACGGCUGAGUAACGCGUGGGAACAUGCCCCAAAGUGAGGAAUAAGCUCCAGAAAUGGAGUCUAAUGCCGCAUAUGAUCUUCGGAUUAAAGGAUUUAUCCGCUUUGGGAGUGGCCUGCGUACGAUUAGAUAGUUGGUGAGGUAAUGGCUUACCAAGUCUACGAUCGUUAGCUGGUCUGAGAGGAUGACCAGCCAGACUGGAACUGAGACACGGUCCGGACUCCUACGGGAGGCAGCAGUGAGGAAUCUUCCACAAUGGGCGAAAGCCUGAUGGAGCAACGCGGCGUGCAGGAUGAAGGCCCUCGGGUCGUAAACUGCUUUUAUAAGUGAAGAAUAUGACGGUAACUUAUGAAUAAGCACCGGCUAACUACGUGCCAGCAGCCGCGGUCAUACGUAGGGUGCAAGCAUUAUCCGGAGUGACUGGGCGUAAAGAGUUGCGUAGGUGGACAAGUAAGCGAAUAGUGAAAUCCAACGGCUCAACCGUAUGGACUAUUACUCGAACUGCUUGUCUCGAGAAUGGUAGAGGUAACUGGAAUUUCUAGUGUAGGAGUGAAAUCCGUAGAUAUUAGAAGGAACACCAAUGGCGUAGGCAGGUUACUGGACCAUUUCUGACACUGAGGCACGAAAGCGUGGGGAGCGAACCGGAUUAGAUACCCGGGUAGUCCACGCCGUAAACUAUGGAUACUAGCUGUUGGGGGUAUCGACCCCCCCAGUAGCGAAGCUAACGCGUUAAGUAUCCCGCCUGUGGAGUACGGUCGCAAGACUAAAACAUAAAGGAAUUGACGGGAGCCGCACAAGCGGUGGAUUAUGUUCUUUAUUCGAUGAUACCGAG
rnacentral:rRNA from 1 species